rnacentral:rRNA from 1 species
UACGUAGGGUGCGAGCGUUAAUCGGAAUUACUGGGCGUAAAGCGUGCGCAGGCGGCGCGUUAAGACAGGUGUGAAAGCCCCGAGCUUAACUUGGGAAUUGCGCUUGUGACUGGCGUGCUGGAGUGUGGCAGAGGGAGGUGGAAUUCCGCGUGUAGCAGUGAAAUGCGUAGAGAUGUGGAGGAACACCGAUGGCGAAGGCAGCCUCCUGGGCCAGCACUGACGCUCAUGCACGAAAGCGUGGGGAGCAAACAGG